rnacentral:pre_miRNA from 1 species
GGUGCGACCGGAUGAUGGUCCUCAACGACCGUUUUUUUAACACUGGUCGGUGGGACUUUCGUCCGUUUGUAAC